rnacentral:lncRNA from 1 species
UCUUCUCUCCUGGUCUCCUUGAGCAGUGCUACUUAAACAGUUUUCACAGUUUCAUUGAUUGACUCUACCUCCUUGCCCCACACCACUUUUGCAAUCUUUAAACUUUCAGUGGCUGUGCAGAGUCGAGGGAGGAACCAGCUCUCUGGUUUACUGGAACAUAGUCUUCCAUCUAUACCACUAGGGUUUUGUCUUAUGUUUACUUUUGGUAACUCUCUUCCUUCUUUUUCUCCCUACCCCCCAACCCCUAGCCCAACCAAUGCUAGAAUUUCU